rnacentral:rRNA from 1 species
AUUGAACGCUGGCGGCAGGCCUAACACAUGCAAGUCGAACGAGUCGCGGACGGGUUAGUAAUGUCUUGGAAACUGCCUGAUGGAGGGGGUUAUCUACUGGAAACGGUAGCUAAUACCGCAUACCAUCACAUUUGCCCAGAGGGGAGUUGCUGGGUGGUGGGGUAACGGCUCACUAAGGCGACGGUCCCUAGCUGGUAUGAGAGGAUGACUAGCCGCACUGGAACUGGGACACGGUCCAGACUCCUACGGGAGGCAGCAGUGGGGAAUAGUGCAGAAUGGGCGCGAGCCUGAUGCAGCCAUGCCGAGUGUAUGAAGAAGGCAUUCGGGGUGUAAAGUACUUUCAGCGGGAAGGCGUUACCAGCAGAAGAAGCGCCGGCUAACUCCGUGCCAGCAGCCGCGGUAAUUC